AUCUACAGCCAUACCACCCUAAGCAUGCCCAAUCUUGUCUGAUCUUGGAAACUAAGCAGGGUAGGGCCUGGUUAGUACUUGGAUAGGAGACUGCCUUGGAAUCCUGGGUGCUGUAGGCU
rnacentral:rRNA from 1 species